rnacentral:rRNA from 1 species
AGGUUACUGCUAUCGAGGUUCGACUAAGCCAUGCGAGUCGAAUGUAGCAAUACAUGGCGUACUGCUCAGUAACACGUGGACAACCUACCCUUGGGACGGGGAUAAACCCGGGAAACUGGGUAUAAUACCCGAUAGUCCUCGGCGGCUGGAAUGCCCCGAGGUCUAAAGCUCCGGCGCCUAAGGAUGGGUCUGCGGCCUAUCAGGUAGUAGUGGGUGUAGCGUACCUACUAGCCUACGACGGGUACGGGUUGUGAGAGCAAGAGCCCGGAGAUGGAUUCUGAGACACGAAUCCAGGCCCUACGGGGUGCAGCAGGCGCGAAAACUUUACAAUGCUGGCAACAGCGAUAAGGGAACCUCGAGUGCCAGGUUACAAAUCUGGCUGUCGUGAUGCCUAAAAAGCAUUGCAUAGCAAGGGCCGGGCAAGACCGGUGCCAGCCGCCGCGGUAACACCGGCGGCUCGAGUGGUAACCGUUAUUAUUGGGUCUAAAGGGUCUGUAGCCGGCCGGAUAAGUCUCUUGGGAAAUCUGGCAGCUUAACUGUCAGGCUUUCAGGAGAUACUGUCUGGCUCGAGGCCGGGAGAGGUGAGAGGUACUUCAGGGGUAGGGGUGAAAUCUUGUAAUCCUUGAAGGACCACCAGUGGCGAAGGCGUCUCACCAGAACGGACCUGACGGCAAGGGACGAAAGCUAGGGGCACGAACCGGAUUAGAUACCCGGGUAGUCCUAGCCGUAAACGAUACUCGCUAGGUGUCGGCCACGGUGCGACCGUUGUCGGUGCCGUAGGGAAGCCGUGAAGCGAGCCACCUGGGAAGUACGGCCGCAAGGCUGAAACUUAAAGGAAU